rnacentral:lncRNA from 1 species
AUGUAAGCUAUACUCUAGACAAUAAAAACUAUGCUAUUGUGAGACAAUAUAUGUGAAGUGGAUGCACUUUGACUAAGAUGGACAGAAUUGAAAGUUCAAUGAACACACCUUUUCUAUUUUACAGUAGACACCGAUUAUGAUAUUUCUUUUCUUCCUUUUCUCUCUUUUUUUUUUACUUUUUUUUAUUUUUUUUUAAUUCGACUAGCAAGAAAAUAACAAAAAAUACAUAAUUGAAGAAUAAGAACAAGGUGCAACUAAAAUUAAGAGUAACAAAGAUAGAAGUUGAACAAUCUAAACAAAUAAAAAUAAGAAGAUAAACUUAAAUAAAUCAAACACAAAUGAUACUUAGAGAUUUAUCCAAUGCCAAAGCUUUGAUACCAAAUUGAUGCGGAACCCAAAGAUCAAAGAUUACAUUCAAAACUCCACAUAUAUAUUUAGUAUAGAUAACUUAAAAACUUUAAACAAAUUCUCCCUACCAAACCCACAACUAACCUAUAAUUGAGAAAUUGGAUGAUUGAGAUGAAAGAAGCAAU